UAGCAAAAAGAGAUUCAAAUUCCACCGUCUGUUUCUUAAAUAAUCUUCAGGUUAAGAGAUGUUUUUAUAAUCAUGUACUUUGAUCAGAGACUUCUGAACAGCCCCCAAAUCCAAAUAUCAGCAACGAAGCGUGGAGAGAAAUGGAAAACUGAUUUAUUCAUUCCUAGUCAAUAAAGUAAGCAUGCAGUAGCUGGAUUGUAAAUACCCCUGCAAAGUGAGAUUUACAAGACAUAAUAUUGGAAGACAGAUUUAUCCCAGUUGAAAGUGCAUUGCUGUUGAAGCAAGUUCAGUGGAAUUUAUAAGAUGAGGCCCUUGAAUGAGAAGAACUCAGAGACCUUGGGGAGUCAGACUCAGGACGUUUGCUGGGCACAAGUUGGAUUUGCAUCUUCAAGAAAUUCAUUCAAAGCGUUUUCUGAAAAUAUUGCAGGGAGAGGAGAAAAACAACCCAAGCCAGGGGCAUCAGCUUUGUUUAAAACUUCCUUUUACUCAGGACUGUUGGGUUUAUAAAUCAAAAUUAUGUGUCCAGUGAGGAAAUGAGAAGUAAAACUUUUUCCAAAAGAAAAAAGAAAAGAAAGCAAGUGAUUCAUUUUGGCCUAAAUAAUUGAAAAUGCAGAUAGUUCGAGUGUUCCUGGCUGCUCGGUCAUGAGUUUAUUUGUCGUUUUUGCUGUCAUGUAGCAGACUCCACAAUGGAGGCUUGGAAGAUGAGUCUCGGCAAAUCUUUAAACUGUUUGGUGAAGUCAGUUGGAGCCCAACCCUUAGAAAUUUGCUGAAUUUUCACUUCUUCUUCACAUGGGGCAGAACUCUAAUGAAGCAAUGUGAUUAUGUUUGUCAGACAAAAAGAAAUAAAGAGGAUGUAAAGAAAGGAAGGAGGAAAGAAGAAGAAAACAGGGACAAAAAGUAGUUUGUCCAGACAUACAAGGUCAGAUUUCUGUCUUACACUCAGAUGUGGGACAGUCGGUUCACCUUGAAGUCUGAGUCAUUUCUGUGUUCAGGACCCUAAGUGACUGACCCUCAAACCAGAUGUAGAACAUGAACUUGUUUAUGACUCUGAACUAUUAUAGCCCUGAAUGAUGCCACCAAUCAGAAUAAGUCUUACACAUUUUCUUAGUGUCUAAGAAGAACAUUAGUAAGAGGGAACAUCAGGGACCAGGAUUUCAUAGUUACUCAGGAUUUUCCUUCUAGGAAGCCCAAGAACAUUUAAAAAUAUCUAUCCUUAUUAUAAAAACCAGUGUGUGCUAAGUCAUUUCAGUCACGUUCAACUCUCUGUGACCCAAGGGACUAUAGCCUGCCAGGCUCAUCUGUUCAUGGGAUUUUCCAGGCAAGAAUACUGGAGUUGGGUUGCCAUGCCCUUAUCCAGGGAAUCUUCCUGACACAGGGUUCAAACGCACGUCUCUUAUGUCUCCUGCAUCGGCAGGAAGGUUCUUUACCACUAGCACGACCUGGGAAGCCCAUAAAAACCAGUAGAAAUAAUUAAAUGACACAAGAAAGGGUAGCACACUGGGAGAAGAAUGCAAAGGAGGUAGAGCUCUCUUCUAGCUGGGGGAACUUAGGAAGGCUACUUGGUGGGAGCAACUUUUGAGCUGAGCCCUGGGAUAUAGUAUAGAAUUAACUGUAAUUGAUCAGGAGAAGAGCCGAAGGGCCGAAGGGCUGAAGAGGGAUACAGAAGAGUGAAUUGGGAUAAGAAACAGUGGUUAUGACAAGUUAUACAAGGGGAUGUGUGCAUCCAUGUGUGCUUAAUCACUUCAGUCUUGUCUGACUCUUUCCUGACCUUAUGGACUAUAGCCCACCAGGCUCCUCUGUCCAUGGGAUUCUCCAGGCAAGAAUACUGGAGUGGGUUGCCAUUUCCUUCUCCAGGGAAUCUUCCCAACCCAGGGAUGGAACCUGUGUCUCCUGUGACUUCUGCACUCCAGACAGAUUCUUUACCUGCUGAGCCACUGGGGAAGCCCCAGACAAGGGUAUCAGUUCAGUUCAGUUCAGUUCAGUCACUCAGUCGUGUCCGACUCUUUGUGACACCAUGAAUCACAGCACGCCAGGCCUCCCUGUCCAUCACCAACUCCCGGAGUUCACUCAGACUCACGUCCAUCGAGUCAGUGAUGCCAUCCAGCCAUCUCAUCCUCUGUCGUCCCCUUCUCCUCCUGUCCCCAGUCCCUCCC
ensembl:lncRNA